UACGUAGGGGGCGAGCGUUGUCCGGAGUUACUGGGCGUAAAGCGUGCGCAGGCGGUUUUGUAAGCCAGAUGUGAAAUCCCCGGGCUCAACCUGGGAAUGGCAUUUGGGACUGCAAGGCUGGAGUGCGGCAGAGGAGACUGGAAUUCCUGGUGUAGCAGUGAAAUGCGUAGAUAUCAGGAGGAAUACCGAUGGCGAAGGCAGGUCUCUGGGCUGACACUGACGCUCAUGCACGAAAGCGUGGGGAGCAAACAGG
rnacentral:rRNA from 1 species